rnacentral:lncRNA from 1 species
GGGAGGCAGAGAAGUUCAUAAUACUUAAUUUGCGCAUAAAGCACGCUUUAUAAUGAUACGUAAUUUGUUAGAGUACUUGGUCAUACGAGGCACGAGGUUACGCAACUUGUUCUUGCUUUGUUAUGGGAGAUAUAUACCUUUUUUCCUCCGCGUGAAAGCGUGAGGUCAUGCAACUUGUUGUUGCUUUUUAAAUGAAAAACAUACUUUUCUCCUCCGCAUGAAAGCGCGAGGUCAUGCAACUUGUUGUUGCUCUUGUGAAUGUAAAACGUAGUUUUCU